UAGCGAACGUUCACUGUAUUUGGGUAUUACAAACAUUACCCAUAUUAUGGGUGAAAUUUGCCGAAAAAAGUUGUAAACUUCACCCAUAUUUUUAGAAACGUAACUUUACCCAUAUAUGGGUAAAUUAAUUUACCCAUAUUUGGAUGAAAAUAAAAACAUUGCGGCAGAAUCGCAGACCAACAAAUCUGUCGCUAGAAAUAUAAUUUCGGGGAUCGACGUACUGUAACCACUAUCAACAGGUAAGUUUGACUGAUUCGCUCCUCUGAAUUCCAUAAUGACAUUUUAUCUUAAUUAAAUACCCUUAGAUCAGCAAACGCCAUGGAACCGUGUAGUCCACCUUCAGUCCACUGCAACGGGGAAAGUGCUAAAACAGGUGCAUUGCCUGAACAGCGAAUUCCCUGCCAUCUGCAAAUCGACCAGUUAGUGCCUCUGCAAAACACGCCAUCGGUCCGAGUGGAAAUUUGGAAACGCAUAAAGAAAACCGAUAAGAGCCUAAACUACAAGCCCACGGUUUGCAGCUUCCUCAGUCCACACUUAAGCUCGAACGGCUAUUGCUCUCCCCAGAGAUCCAUGAGCAGGGAACAAUCUACAGCGCACCACUUCUAAGCAGUCUACCCGGUCUUCUCCUCGGUCUUCUCAUAGCGCAUAGUCCCUCGAAGAACGAAGCAUCAGAAUGAGAUGGCACCAGCGAAAAAAUCAGCGUUUGGAUCGCUCUCAGUCCUUUGAGCCUUAUUUCGUUUUCGGAGAACAAUGAACCAAUUUGGUUUCAGGAAAGCGGAGCUCGCCUAAUCAGUUCCGUACCAGCCAUUUCUUUAUCGGGCGUCAGUCGAAACGAAGUGCCAAAAAGAAACCCAGAUUUGGGGCAGCGACGUGUGUAACGAGAGAACCCGCUUCGUUCACACAACAAGCGGAAAUAUGCGGAAGGAUUCCGACGGCACCAGUAAUUCCUGGCUAGAGCUGAUAAUCAACAUAAUGCCACACCUGCUGUUCUUGGAAUGGUGGUCAUGAAUGCCUCGUAGGUGGCCCCGCCAUCGAUUUUAAAAGCUAUAAUAUUUGUGAAAUACAAUAAAACCAAAGGACUAAUAAAAUUAUACU